rnacentral:rRNA from 1 species
UUGAACGCUGGCGGCAGGCCUAGCACAUGCAAGUCGAGCGGUAGCACAGAGAGCUUGCUCUCGGGUGACGAGCGGCGGACGGGUGAGUAAUGUCUGGGAAACUGCCUGAUGGAGGGGGAUAACUACUGGAAACGGUAGCUAAUACCGCAUAACGUCGCAAGACCAAAGUGGGGGACCUUCGGGCCUCAUGCCAUCAGAUGUGCCCAGAUGGGAUUAGCUAGUAGGUGGGGUAACGGCUCACCUAGGCGACGAUCCCUAGCUGGUCUGAGAGGAUGACCAGCCACACUGGAACUGAGACACGGUCCAGACUCCUACGGGAGGCAGCAGUGGGGAAUAUUGCACAAUGGGCGCAAGCCUGAUGCAGCCAUGCCGCGUGUGUGAAGAAGGCCUUCGGGUUGUAAAGCACUUUCAGCGGGGAGGAAGGCGGUGAGGUUAAUAACCUCAUCGAUUGACGUUACCCGCAGAAGAAGCACCGGCUAACUCCGUGCCAGCAGCCGCGGUAAUACGGAGGGUGCAAGCGUUAAUCGGAAUUACUGGGCGUAAAGCGCACGCAGGCGGUCUGUCAAGUCGGAUGUGAAAUCCCCGGGCUCAACCUGGGAACUGCAUUCGAAACUGGCAGGCUAGAGUCUUGUAGAGGGGGGUAGAAUUCCAGGUGUAGCGGUGAAAUGCGUAGAGAUCUGGAGGAAUACCGGUGGCGAAGGCGGCCCCCUGGACAAAGACUGACGCUCAGGUGCGAAAGCGUGGGGAGCAAACAGGAUUAGAUACCCUGGUAGUCCACGCCGUAAACGAUGUCGAUUUGGAGGUUGUGCCCUUGAGGCGUGGCUUCCGGAGCUAACGCGUUAAAUCGACCGCCUGGGGAGUACGGCCGCAAGGUUAAAACUCAAAUGAAUUGACGGGGGCCCGCACAAGCGGUGGAGCAUGUGGUUUAAUUCGAUGCAACGCGAAGAACCUUACCUGGUCUUGACAUCCACAGAACUUUCCAGAGAUGGAUUGGUGCCUUCGGGAACUGUGAGACAGGUGCUGCAUGGCUGUCGUCAGCUCGUGUUGUGAAAUGUUGGGUUAAGUCCCGCAACGAGCGCAACCCUUAUCCUUUGUUGCCAGCGGUUAGGCCGGGAACUCAAAGGAGACUGCCAGUGAUAAACUGGAGGAAGGUGGGGAUGACGUCAAGUCAUCAUGGCCCUUACGACCAGGGCUACACACGUGCUACAAUGGCAUAUACAAAGAGAAGCGACCUCGCGAGAGCAAGCGGACCUCAUAAAGUAUGUCGUAGUCCGGAUUGGAGUCUGCAACUCGACUCCAUGAAGUCGGAAUCGCUAGUAAUCGUAGAUCAGAAUGCUACGGUGAAUACGUUCCCGGGCCUUGUACACACCGCCCGUCACACCAUGGGAGUGGGUUGCAAAAGAAGUAGGUAGCUUAACCUUCGGGAGGGCGCUUACCACUUUGUGAUUCAUGACUGGGGUG